UGCUUCACUUUGGUGGAGCAGAGAACUGAAAAUCCUCGUGUCGAUGGUUUGAUUCCACCCCUGAGCACCA
rnacentral:tRNA from 1 species